GACAGGAUUCCGCGUGGCGUCCAUCCUCUGAACUCCCCCAGGGCAGGAAUGCAGCAAGGGUCAGGAGGCUCUGGCGGGUGCGCGGGGUCCCCUUUUUGUAUGGC
rnacentral:SRP_RNA from 1 species